UUGUGACUGAGCCGGACGGGUGAGUAACACGUAUCCAACCUGCCUCAUACUCGGGGAUAGCCUUUCGAAAGAAAGAUUAAUAUCCGAUAGCAUAUAUUUCCCGCAUGGGUUUUAUAUUAAAGAAAUUCGGUAUGAGAUGGGGAUGCGUUCCAUUAGUUUGUUGGGGGGUAACGGCCCACCAAGACUACGAUGGAUAGGGGUUCUGAGAGGAAGGUCCCCCACAUUGGAACUGAGACACGGUCCAA
rnacentral:rRNA from 1 species